UACAGAGGUCUCAAGCGUUGUUCGGAUUCAUUGGGCGUAAAGGGUGCGUAGGCGGCGCGGUAAGUCGGGUGUGAAAUCUCGGGGCUUAACUCCGAAACUGCAUUCGAUACUGCCGUGCUUGAGGACUGGAGAGGAGACUGGAAUUUACGGUGUAGCGGUGAAAUGCGUAGAUAUCGUAAGGAAGACCAGUGGGGAAGGCGGGUCUCUGGACAGUUCCUGACGCUGAGGCACGAAGGCCAGGGGAGCAAA
rnacentral:rRNA from 1 species